CUAUGGUGCCUUCUCAGAGAUUUAAUAAAAUUGUCCUAAAAAUUAACCAAACCCUAGACCCGCUUCAUCUUCCUCGUACUCUCUAUUCCUCUGCCGGCUGAAAAUCAUCUCCGCCGCCGGCGGACUCCCAACUACCUGAAAAUUACAUUCCUGAUUCCCCUCGCCCUACCCAAAUCCACUAUCUGUUUCCUUCAAACAUCAUCCAAACCCGUCGAAUCUUCAACUGAAGUUUUCCGGCCAAGACGCAAACUCACCCCCAAUCCGGCCCAAAUUCAUACCAGAUAUUCCCCAAACCUCCGUCAUCACUAAUCCCUAUCCAAAACCCCUCGAAUCCAAAUAAAAAUGGACGAAUUUCAAAUUUAAGGUUUGAUGUUAAGGUCUCUUGAAUUUCAGCCGAUGUUUGAAUGAUUUAAAACCAUAUUAUGUGUUUGUUCUUAGUAAGAACAAACACAUAAUAUCGUUUGAAGAUCAUUUUCAAGCUCGGCCACGUCAGUUGCUCAAAUCAGUGAGUUUGUUUAUUUUGUUUUCUUCUUCUUCAUUUUUUGUAGUUUUAUAUUGUGACUUUAUUUUUAGUCAGUGAGAUUUCUAUGUGCUUUGAAUUAAAUAUUAUAUUACUGAGAUGAAUUUAUGUAUAAGUUACUGUUUGGAUUAAUCAUUUAGCAUAAUUGGGUCGCUUCACAUUUGAAUUAAUUUCUUGCAUACUUAGGUUAGUUGAUAUAUAAUUUAGUCUAGGUAUUCCUUUAUGUUUAGUUUUGCAUCUAGAUUUGUUGUUCUGAUUGGAUUUUGUUGAUGUCACUGUGUUCUAAUUAGUUGUUUGAAUCGACGAUUAGUUGGUUUCUAGCUCUGUAGUCAUUCAGUUAAUUAGGUUUAGGAUUGAUUAUAGCUGAGUUGUUUUGAUAUAAUGAGUUAGUAUUUUCAGGGAAUUUCAGGGGUAGUUUGGGCAUUGAAAAUGAUUCAGUUUGUUAAGACAUGGUAAUUUUUAAAUGCAACUAAUGGUAGUAUAGGUAUAGGAUAGAUGAUGGUAGAACCUUUCAGGGCAUUCUAAAUGGGGCUUUAGUGUAAGUUUUAAUUAUUUUGGUAGUAGUAACUUGAGUAGAAAGUCAGGAAAUGAGGAACAUGUAAGCAAAAAUUAAAAUUAAAAAAGGGCUAAGGUUGAAAACUAAAAAUCUAAGGGUUGCCCUCAUUUGUCCCUAUAAAAGGGCAUUCCCUUUACUUUAUUCAUAAGUUUUGGAGCCUCAAAAAAUUUCCCCCCAUUCUUUACAAGUUUCAGAUCUGUAACUUGAGAUCCAAACUCUAAAAUUUUCAAAAAUAAAAAAUAAAAACAAAAAACAGUAGAGAUUUCCAGAAAACCAAAAACAACAAAAGCUAUUCAAAAAACCAAAAAAAAAGUAUUGUUUCAUUGGAAUUUUGCAAUUCAAAUUCAAGGCUGGCUGCCAGUUUUCCAUUUUAGUUUAGUAAUUAGUCAUUGAAGUUUUGAAACUGCUUGAUUUGGUCUUUGGAGUCAGGUUGAGGUCUAUUUGAGUUGUUGUAUAGUUGUUUCUGUUGCUGAAGGUUUUCUGGAUUUCCUGGGUUAAAUUGUGAGCUCAUUUGGUGGGAUUCAAGUGGUUUAUGAGUGGUUUUUCCUGAGUCUGUCCUCUUCUAAACUUUUCUGGACUAUCAUACGCAUUUCUGGGCUAAAACUGGGCUGAUUGGUGUUGUUUGAAUUCCAGUUAUUGGUUACUGCAGCCUGUUGUCUGUUCUUCUGUCGCUAACGUCCAUUUCUGUUCAUUAUAUCUCUAGGUAUCUCUCCCAAUCUCAUAGGAAUUGUGAAGGAACCUUUGUAAAUGUGAUAUGGAAAAAUUGGAACUGACGAAUGAAGUUGAACUGAAACUGACGAAUGAAGUUGAAUUUGCUUAUGGAGUUGUCCUGUUCUGUUUCCACUUCAUAUAUGGAGUACAUUUUGUUUAAUGGAUAUCUUGUAUAAACUUGGACUCACGAUUGGUCAAUUUGUUAAUUGGACUAUUGCUUAGCAUAAAUAUUAAUUAAUUUGCUUAGUUUGUUCAGAUAAAAGUGCAAUCUUGUAUUGAUACAGUUGCAAAUUCACAUACCUGCUUUGUUUUCAACAUUAAUGAUAUUUGAAGUUCAUCAUUAGUUGAUGAGUUACAAUUAUAUUUGCAUGAAAUGAUCUCAAAUGGUCAAAAUCUAAUGGUUUUGGAUAAGUGCAUUGAUUCACGUUGUUACAAGUGUAGAACCCAUUCCCAAGAGAAUUUGGGAUAAUUUAGUGGGGCAAGCAUUCGAACAAAUUGGCUAACACAGGGAAUUGAACUCGGGCCCCGUGAUUUGGCAUGUGUAUGGCUUUAAGUGAGCAUUUCUGUUUGAGGCACAAACCAUCUAUUAGAAUAUAAUUGUGUGUAUAUUUUUAUUAUUGAUAAAAUAUUCUCUCAUUAUUGUACAGUCCAAUAGUUG
rnacentral:lncRNA from 1 species